CGCAGCCGCGGUAAUUCCAGCUCCAAUAGCGUAUAUUAAAGUUGCUGCAGUUAAAAAGCUCGUAGUUGAAUUUCGGGACCAUCAUGUCGGUCGUGCCUCGGUACGUACUGGCAUUGUUGGUUUCUACCUUCUGACGAACCAUGAUGUCAUUUAUUUGGUGUCGUGGGAAAUCAGGACUGUUACUUUGAAAAAUUAGAGUGUUUAAAGCAGGCUCACGCUUGAAUACAUUAGCAUGGAAUAAUGAAAUAGGACGUUUGAUUCUAUUUUGUUGGUUUCUAGGAUCGACGUAAUGAUUAAUAGGGAUAGUUGGGGGCAUUAGUAUUCAAUUGUCAGAGGUGAAAUUCUUGGAUUUAUUGAAGACUAACUACUGCGAAAGCAUUUGCCAAGGAUGUUUUCAUUAAUCAAGAACGAAAGUUAGGGGAUCGAAGACGAUCAGAUACCGUCGUAGUCUUAACCAUAAACUAUGCCGACUAGGAUC
rnacentral:rRNA from 1 species